rnacentral:sRNA from 1 species
AUUUAAACGGGAUUGUAGCGGUAUCCAACAAAAGAUUUAGCGGAAAGCCCGACUAACG